CGCACCUUGCGCCCUCUGGUAUUCCGGAGGGCAUGCCUGUUUGAGUGUCAUGUAGACUCAUCCUUUCGGGUUUCCGAAAUGUGAUGGAUUUGGAGGUCUGCCUUUGCUGGCUCCUCUUAAAUGCAUGGUGUAGACGUAAUAAGUUUCGUCGUACCCACCUACAUAAAUACAUUUGUACUCUGACCUCAAAUCAGGUAGGGCUACCCGCUGAACUUAA
rnacentral:misc_RNA from 1 species